GUUCAUCAUGGGGAUCUUGCUUGCAUGCUCCCAGUUUGCAAGCAUCACGAAUGACGCAUCAAAACUAGCAACCCAAACACUAUAUAUAGAUGAUCCAUAUAACUCUGAUCCACCAACCACCUAACGAAACACAAGCCAUAACAAGCAGCUCAACCUUCAUACACAGAUCUAGCAGGAGACCAUGGCCGGAGGAGACGACUUGAAGCUGCUCGGCGCUUGGGCAAGUCCAUUUGUCACCAGGGUGAAGCUUGCGCUAAACUUCAAAGGCCUGAGCUUCGAGGAUGUCGAGGAGGACCUCAGCAACAAGAGCGAGCUCCUCCUCAGCUCGAACCCGGUGCACAAGAAGGUGCCCGUGCUCGUCCACAACGGAAAACCCAUUUGCGAGUCAGUGAUCAUCGUGCAGUACAUCGAUGAGGCGUUCGCCGGCAUCGGCCCCUCUCUCCUUCCCUCUGACCCCUACGAACGCGCCAUUGCCCGCUUCUGGGCCGCCUACAUUGACGACAAGCUCGUCACCCCAUGGGUAUAGUCAUUAAGGGCCAAGACAGAGGAGGAGAAGUCCGAGGGGGUUAAGCAAACAUUUGCCGCGGUGGAGACAUUGGAAGGAGCCCUGAGGGAGUGCUCCAAGGGAGAGGGCUACUUUGGUGGUGAGACCGUCGGGCUUGUGGACGUUUCACUUGGAAGCCUGCUCUCCUGGUUGAACGCGACAGAAGUGAUGUCCGGAACCAAGAUCUUUGAUCCUGUUAAGACUCCGCUCCUGGCAGCGUGGAUGGAGCGCUUUAGCGAGCUCGACGCUGCCAAGGAGGCGUUGCCAGAAGUUGAUAGGGUGGUCGAAUUUGCCAAGAAGAGGCAGGCACAGGCUGCCGCCGCCGCCGCUGCUUCAGAGAACAAGUAAACAUCAUGGGAACGUGAGUUCCAUUGAAUAAAAAAGAGUGGAUGUUUUCUAUAUAGCAUUAUGAUUGUUGUUUGUAUGUGGAUUCUUGAUGUAAUGGUGCCAAGGAAAAUUAAUGCAUGUGAUGUUUUGUGAAGGUUU